rnacentral:pre_miRNA from 1 species
UAUUAAAAUUUUCAUCCAUUUGUCAUGUUAAAAACCAGCAUGGCUAUAAAAUAACUAGAUAGUAAUAUGUGGCAUGACACAUGCACAUCAUGCUGAGAUAUAGGAAAUGGUUUUUAACAAUAGAAAUGGAUGUAAUUUAUAACA